rnacentral:lncRNA from 13 species
GAAGCCAGGAGCAGCCGGCCAGCAUCCCCUCCCUCCGACCCGCAGUCAGUGUGGGCAGCAGGCCCGGACUGGUGCCCGCUGGAAGUGGCCUUAGAAAGACCGCGUCCGACUCGGCCUCCGUCUCCCGCUCAAAGAGCCAUCUUGUCGCCGCUUCACUCAGGAGCCAGCGAGCUCUUCCCAGGACCCGCUUCGCGUCUUCCCUUCACCCCGACUACCACUGGGUGGAGGCGGCGGCCUCUCUGGAGCUGCCAGGGAGCAGCGGCCUGUGGGCCUGAGGCGGGGCCGUCUGUGUCCUCUGGGCACUGUCUGUUCCGGCCCAGGAGCCUCCUCCUCGACUCCGCCCCGGCCGCCCUGGGCCUCCCUCUUUCACUUUCUUGGUGUCUUUCAGGUACAGUCUUUAGAGAUGCAACCCUUCCAAACACAGAGUCAGUGUGUUGCUCUGUCACCCAGGCUGGAGUGCAGUGGUAUGCUAGUAGCUCACUACAGCCUCACACUCCUGGUGUCAAUGGAUUCUCCCACCUCAGCCUCCCAAGUAGGUGAGACUACAGGCAUGUGCCACCAUAUCUGAUAAUUUUUAAAUUUUUUUGUGGAGAUGGGAGUCCCACUAUGUAGCCCUGGAUGGCCUCAAAUUCCUGGUCUCAAGUGAUUCUUUCACCUUUGCCUCCCAAAGCACUGGGAUUAAAGGUGUGAGCCACCACACCCAGCCUAAGAAUUUUAUUUCUUCAUAAUGUGCCUGUUUUUCCUUAUGUUAAGCUCUAGUUUGCAGCCUCUAAAAUGGCUCCCAGUGAUCCCCACUUCCCAUUACUCUCGCUCAGGGGUGAUCCUCACCCCUGAGUGAGGACUGGAUCACGUGACUGGCUUCUGACUAAUAGAAUAUGACCAAAAUGAUAUGAAGUCUCUUCUGACCGUAGCAGCAGGAGGCUCUAACCUCUGUCUUGCUCACUCUCUAUGGCUUUUUUUCUCUUGCCUACAUUGAUGAGCCCAGACUGCCAGUGUGACUAUCCUAAAGUGAAGCCCAUGUGGCAAGGAACUGAAGGAUGUUUCCAGCCAACAGCAAGUGAGAAACCAAGUCCCUCAAUCCAACAGCCUGCAAGGAAUGAAUCCUGUGAACAACCAGGCCAGAGACUUUAGAAACAGAACCUGAGUUGUCCACAGCCUCACCCAACACCUUGGCUGCAGCUUCCUGAGGAGCCCUGAACCAGAGUGAGUCAUGGUUGGGUUUUUGACCCACAGAAACUGGGAGAUGAUAAAUAUUUUAAUCUACUCAAUUUUGGAGUACAUGGUUAUGUAGCAACAGAUAAUUAAAUACCAGCUAAUUGUCCACUGAUUGCAUAUUCUACAAUGUAGAUAUCUCUUUAUUUCACACAUGUUUUUUUCCAAACAAUACAGCUUUUUAAAAUUUCUUGUCUAAAAAGAAAGUCCAGUUUAGGUCUGAUAGUAUUUUUGACAUGGGGAAAAUAGUACAGAUGCAAAAGCCUCUCUUUGUGCUUCACUGCUUGAGGUGUUCAGUAUAUAAUCAUUAGCCUUGAAAAGACAGGUCUGGUUUAUCUCUAUAAUUUUGAGAAGGUUUAGUUCUGGUUGCCCAAGUUUAGGCUAAUGUAGUUAAAGGCUGUGUGGUUUAGUCACAAACGUGGCAGGACAGGCCCUCUACCCUCUGACUUUAAAAAUAGAACCGAAAACAACUAUCCCUGGAACAAGUAAUUGAAAUAUCUCCAAGCUAAAACUGAUUGAUAGAGGAAAAUUUGUGAAGAUUCCUUCUAAAUGUGGUACAAGGCGAUUCUAUGGAUGCUCUAGAUUUUAGAAAAAGAGGCAUAAAAGAAAGGCAGGAGAGUUGAGUAAAAAAAUCAGCCUUGAAGAAAACUGGUUCCUCUUAAAAAUUUUCUCAGGUUUGGGCUGCUGGGUCUGGCAGGGCCAUUGUUUAGGGGUCACCUUAGCUGUGUGUAUGGACCAAAUGACUUUUCAUUUUGUGCUAGGGUCUUGAACUUCGGAAUCCAUGACCAAAUUCUUGAAUCAGCUUAGCACUGCCAAGUGAGCCUUUCCCUUAAAACACACAAUUGCUACUGACAGCAAAAGUCUAAUUACAAACAAAAGUCUACAUCAUGAGAAUGUUCUGGAAUCUUAAGUGACUUGCUUUUCAUGAUAACAACUGCCUCGUAUAUUGCAAAAUGUCACCUGGACCCCAUAAGGGCUCUACAGAAAAUAUUGUAGAAAACCUAAGCAUCGCAUGCAAUGCUCACAGUGAGGUAUAUCCAACUAUCAAUUUAAUUACAACUUUAUUACUUACCAUUCAAUUUGGUUCCUACAGAGUGUAUGUUCCUUCUGGGAAUACAAAAAAUUAUGUUCUAAUUAAAGUAUAAUUAUCCAUUCAGUGCAGAAGGGCAGGGGUCACAGUCUCUCUGCAUCCUCAUUACAUCUGAGUAUUCCGGAAGAUACCUCACAUUCACACUCAGGCCCCAUCACCUGACAUUACAUGUGGUAUUUCUAGGAAAUACAAGGCUUUAAUCAAACUCUUUUAUUUCAAGUUAAGGAAAGUACAAUUUAAAAAACAAUGCAGAGUGAAUCAAAUAGGGUAAGAUUUAUAGUAACUUCAAUCUCUACAUUUUUCACUACAAUGCAUUCUUUGUAGGUUAACAUACAUUGUUUGGUAGAAUCCUGAAAUCAGUGUAAAGCAGUUGACAAGAUCCAGAGUUUAUUACCAACAAGCACAGGUAUUGUUUUCACCUUUUUGUCUCCUAGUAUCCAAACUGUUUUUAACAAUGAGCAUGCCUGGGACAUUCUGCAUUCCCUAUGCCCUGCUUCACUCCCAUUUUCUAACCAGUCCUAAGAUUCAUGGACAUAUUUUUAUCUUAUUGAGCAGUGUCUCUAUCGUUUAUUCUUUUUUUGUUUGUUUCUGCUUCUGUGUUUUCAUUUGGUGUUUGGUAGCUAAUAAACAAAUUGACUGAGAUUCA